rnacentral:miRNA from 8 species
GGGUUCCUGGCACCGUGAUUU